rnacentral:rRNA from 1 species
CCCCUUUCAGCAGGGACGAAAUUGACGGUACCUGCAGAAGAAGCCCCGGCUAACUACGUGCCAGCAGCCGCGGUAACACGUAGGGGGCAAGCGUUGUCCGGAUUUAUUGGGCGUAAAGAGCUCGUAGGUGGCUAAGUAAGUCGGGUGUCAAAUCCCCAGGCUCAACCUGGGUCCCCACUCGAUACUGCUUUGGCUAGAGUCCGGUAGGGGAGCGUGGAAUUCCUGGUGUAGCGGUGAAAUGCGCAGAUAUCAGGAGGAACACCAGCGGCGAAGGCGGCGCUCUGGGCCGGUACUGACACUGAGGAGCGAAAGCGUGGGUAGCAAACAGGAUUAGAUACCCUGGUAGUCCACGCCGUAAACGUUGGGCACUAGGUGUGGGGUCUAUUCAACGGACUCCGUGCCGUCGCUAACGCAUUAAGUGCCCCGCCUGGGGAGUACGGCCGCAAGGCUAAAAACUCAAAGGAAUUGACGGGG